rnacentral:lncRNA from 1 species
AACAUCUGCUCAUUGCAGUGUCUUCUCAUCUUCUUUAGGAGGCACCUCGAACUGAACCCAGGACCUUCCACGUGGGAGAUGGAUGCCCAACUGCUUGAGCCACAUCUGCUCUCCACUGUCUCUUUCUUUCCCCCAAAACAAUGCAAAAGAAUCCAGACAGCUAGGAUAUCUGGACUUCCCAGGUGAUCCUGAGGAGAAAUUUCACAACCAUUUCAAUAUUCUUUUGUGUUUCUAGAGAAAUACUGUCUACACAAAAUUCUCAAGGAUUUGGAAGUGGAAGAAAAACAAGUCAGUGAUGAGGUGCUCAGAGUUCCUCAAAAAAUUCAGUUUUUACCUUGAUGGGAUCUACCAACACUGCUAUUUCUCUCAUCCAAUAAAUUCUCAACCAAUUACAAUAG